GUGUGCCCUAUGAAACGCUUUGCAACUGCUCACACCACUGCUGCUCCUGAUUGUGGCAUCCUGGGGCUUUCUGUACCAGAAUGAUCAGUGUGCCUGGAAGAUUAAUGGCAGAGGAGAAAAUAUGAGGGAAGGACAUGUAAGAAAAAGCCUUUGCAGAUCUCUGUGUUGCUGCCUGUUGCUGAAGCAACACUGUGCCACAGGUCUCGGUUGACUGCAAAAAGGAGAAGGGAGGAGCGAGUGGAAGGGGGGUCAGAUCCUGCCAGGGUUUCCUGGGAAAUGAGGUGAGUGGUGAUGUCUUUCAGCACUCAUAAACCUGGAGAUACAAGCCCUCCCCUGAUCUUCCCUGCACCCUUUGGGUG
rnacentral:lncRNA from 1 species